rnacentral:lncRNA from 1 species
UUUUUUUUUUUUUUUCCUUUAUUCUUUUUAGGGCUGCAUCUGUGACACCUGGAAGUUCCUAGGCUAGUGGUUGAAUCCAGCUGCCAGCCUACACCACAACCACAGCAAUGCCAGAUUCAAGCUGCAUCUGCAAACUACAUGGCAGCUUUCAGCAAAGUGAUAUCUUUGACUCACAGAGUGAGGCCAGGGAUCGAACUGACAUCUUCAUGGGUACUAGUCUNAAUCGGAGCUGAACUCCAUUUUUUAAAUCAAAAGCUUAUUAGUUGUUUUUUAGAAUGAAGGUUUGAUUCCCGAAUGCCAUAGAUACAUAUAAUUAUUCAGACAUAAGCUAAAUAAAUAAAUAAAUAAAUAAACCCCACCAGCUGUAAAAUUCACACACAAAAAACUGGCUGACCAAGGUGGGAAGGGGGGGAGGAAAUUAAAAUGAUCAAACAUUUUAGAAUAAGAAUAUUAAACAAUCAUAAACAUUUUUCAUUCAAGCAGGUAAUUAUUUAAAUACCUUAGGCUCAAUUUUUAUUUAUUCAUUUAACAAGUAUUUAGGCUCCAUUGUAUACAGACACACAUUUCUGUAUUUAUACAGCCUCCAAAGGCAGACACCCUAGAGCUUUCCUUGCAAACUCAGGUCAAUUUCUAUCUCUAAUUGGUCAUUUCAUGUUUCAAAAGAAAUCCAGUGGGUCUCAACCACUGGAAAAACCAAAAUCUUAGAAUUUGGAAGUGGAGAGAAUGGAAAAGAGGUCCAAACUACAUCUUUCAAUCACUAAUAGUUAUUGGCUUCCUAACCAGUAAAUAUACUAGUUUUCCACACAAUUUGAUUAAACUACAUAGUAAAAAUGCCUGAUGUGUGCCAGGCACGAUGCCAGGCAUGGAGGUUAUAGAGCGAGUAAAGCCAAGUCUUGCAGGAAUUCAUCUCAUAUUACACAAUGGGUGUGUUCUUGGGAAAACUGCAUAUAUGAAGCAAUUUUUAAUUAGUUGAAUUAUUUUCAGUUGUAUUUUAACAGAUACAGUAGAAAACACUUGUCAAAGUGAAAGUUCUGUCCGCUCAAUUCUUAUACAUCAGGUUUGCACGACUCAUUAGGCACUGCGUGCUACACAGAAAUAAAACUAAUGUAAUGACAAGUUCAGUCUUCAGUUGGUAUCAGUUUCUGGGCUCCCUGGGAUCACACACCAAUUGUGUGUAGGUAGAACCGAUGAAAGUUCUUUCUAUGGUAUUAAGAUAUGCUAGGUUGAUACUGGAUGCUUCCCAAAUCUGGGCUAUAUUUAAUGGUCAGUUGGCUGUGAAUCUCUUACAAAGGAAAUGGAAAAAGCAAAGAGACAACAAAAACUCUGCACACCAGAUUUUGAUGGCUCAGACCUUAGGUUUUGCUAUUUCCUGUUUAUAUUUUUAAAGAGACUAACGGUUGGCAUAAUUACUUGACUAAGGAUCCUUAAUUCUAAUACUAAACCAGAGAUUAGAAGUUAGACUGGGUGGUUCCUUCCUCAUAUUCCCCUGUAUGCGCCUCUAUUUUCAUUCUUACAGCAAAGAGGGCCUCCUCGUAAGAAAAGCUGGUCAAACAGAACUGGGGAUUCCAACACGGUAUUCCUUUAUUUUUUAAUGUUGGAGGGGACACUGGGCAUGAAUGUGAAGUUGUGAAUCUUUUGUGAAGAAUGAGCUUCAUUUAAGUGCUGUUAAGGCCCUAAGACUACAAGGAAAAAUACAGAGCCUCUGCCCAAGUUGGCAGGCUAUGGAGGGCUGCAUCUCGGUUGACCGAGUGGAUGGUAGCUAUGUUGUAAGUGCCACAAUACAGUUAUCAACACUUUCCUAUCACCGGAGCAACCUGUGUUACCCUUACAAUGCCCUGAAUGCAUUCAACGUCUGAGCACCAAUGAUGCUCCAGGCAUGAGUACUGAGGAGCCAGCAGUGACUAGGACAGACUCAAUUCUUAUCCUCAUGGAGCCUCCAGUCAGUGGGAUGGGCUGUCCCAGAGUUAGCUAGCAACGGUGCAGAGGCAGCACAUUACAGUGUGCUCUCGGAAGCAUAAAAAGAUUACAACUCUAAUAUAAAAUGUGGGGCUUCAUAGUAUAUCAGUGGAGGAAUAUUAUGAGUCGGAUAAGACUUUCCAAAGAUCCUUAAGUACAGACAUAAAUAAGAAGGAUGGUGGCUGUGAAAGUCAACAAAGUUUUGGCAGAUUCUAUACUUAAUAAAAUGGAGGAAAUUAUACAAACGGAUGAGCAUUUUUAAGCAAAAACGUUUGAUAAGCAACACCUUUCACAGGUUAGAGGAAUACAGAGUAGAGACCAAGAACUGCUUCCAACCAACAUCAAUAAUUCUGAGUGAUUCAGAAUGUGUUAGCAGACAAUGCAAAUGAAUGAUGUUCGUUUACAUAGUGAAAUUCCCUAAAAUGAACAGAAUGCAGGUGGCUGUGGUUUUUUAAAGUUGGACUGUCUCAUAAGUAAAAUAGAUUUUAGUAAAAGGAAACCAAAGAGAUCAUGUUUCUUUCUUGCUAGUUAUUUAAUAAAGAAAUAUUCGGGGAGAUAGCUUGAGAAAUUUGAAUUUGUGGUUCCCACUUUCUUUAAUGGUGAGUACUGUAAAAUGCUUCUGUAAAAAUACUACUUUUAUUCAAGCAACAUAUGGGAAAAAACUGUUACGUCACUUUAGAAUGUUAUAUUUAGAAAGGUAAUUUCCUUUCACCGAAGACCUUUUUUUUUUUUCUCUCUUCUCAGCCUUUCCACAUCAGUCAAAAAAACAGGCUUUGACAUAUCAGUUUUUUUUUAAAAAAAUGAACUACAAAGUAUAUGACAGAAUUUGGAUUUAACAUUCCUCUUGAAUCUAUUUCAAUGAGCUUUCAGGUUUGGGAAAACCUGAAUAUGGAGGGCUGGCUUCCAAUGAAACAUUUUAACAGUUCCUUCCAAACAGUGUUUCAUCAACACCCCACCAUUACAGCAACUAGUACUUCCUGGAAAUCUCUGGCUUUGCAAGUGUGGUCUUCACACACACACAAAAAGAGGGGAAAUGCUAAAAUUGAAUUAUGUAGCCCAUGAGGAAACUAGGGGGGUUAUACUUGACGUAUGCAAAGCAACCUUGUCACUUUACAUCUAUACUUGAGAAAACUCAUUUUCUUUUGAGUAGGUUUGGGAUGGAAAUGAUAUAAAAUUGGGUUGUGAUGACCUAAACUAUAAAUGUAAUAAAAUUCAUUGCAUAAUAAAAAAAGAAAGCAAAUUCUAGCUUACUGGGAAAGAUAAAAAGGGGUUUCACUUCCUCUCUUAGUCCCUGUAUCCUACAGUAAAUGUCAAAAAAAAAAAAAAAAAAAAAACCUCAUACCUCUGGACUUGAGAAAACUCAUUUUCUUUUGAUUAGGUUGCCAUUAGCAUACCUAGCAUGUGCUCACACAGUAAUUUUGCUAAUUUAAAAAGGUUCAAACUUAUUAUGAAUGCCGUUACAAAAUGUUUCAGAAAGGCUGAACUGAUUCUUUGCAUAAUGUUUUCAGUUUUCUUCACAGAAAACCAUUAGGAUUUUCUGCAAUCUUAUCUUGCAAGUUUAGAUUAUAUUAAGCAUGGUUUAUUUAUUUGAGAAUGCCUUUUAUUUAGAAUAAAUAUAUGUGGUCUUUAGUUUCUACCUCCACCAAUAGAUUAAUAUAUUGUCUGAUUCAGUUUAUGUGCAUUUUUAGCCCAGAUAUUUGUGUGUGUGCCAUGGCUCAUAAUAGCAUGGGCAUUUGGUCAAUGAUAUUAAAAUUAAACCCAGACACUAAAACAUGGACAAAGCAAAAUAUCCAUCAACAGAUGAAUGCAUAAGAAGAUGUGGUGUGUAUGUACAAUGGAAUACUACUUGGCCAUAAAAAAGAAUGAAGCAAUGUCAUUUUUAGUAACACGGAUGGACCUGGAGAUUAUCAUUAUUAAGUAAAGUAAGUCCGAAAGAGAAAGACAAAUAUUAUAUGAUAUCAUAUAUAUGUGGAAUCUAAAAUAUGACACAAAUGAACUUACCUAUGAAACAGAAACAGACUCACAGACAUAGAGAAGAGACUUGUGGUUGCCGAGGGGGAGGGAAGAGGGAGUAGGAUGGGCGGGGAGUUUGGAAUUAGCAGAGGCAAACUAUCACCCAUAGGAUGGAUAAACAAAAAGGUCCUACUGUACAGCACAGGGAACUAUAUUCAGCAUCCAGUGAUAAACCGUAAUGGAAAAGAAAAAAGAAGUUAAACACGGGAGUUCCCACAGUGGCUCAGUGGUAAUGAACCAAACUAGUAUCCAUGAGGAUGCAGGUUUGAUCUGUGGCCCUGCUCAGUGGGUUAAGGAUCGGCGUUGCUGAGAGCUGUGGUGUAGGUCACAGACACGGCUUGGAUCCCGGGUUGCUGUGGCUGUGGUGUAGGCUGGCGGGUUCAGCUCCAAUUCCAUUCCUAGUCUGGAAACUUCGAUAUAAUGUGGGUAUGGCCCUAAAAAGACAAAAACCACCAACCAACCAACCAACAAAAAAAACAAAAGAAAUUAAAUCCAGAGCAAAGUGCAGGCCUCUGCUACAGACACACGGCCACAAAUUUUACUAUGAAACUGAAAUAUAGCAUCUAUGAAAAAACUGAAAUAUAGUACCUACUACCAUAAAAUUGGUUAGAAUUGCACUUUCCUAUCUAAAUAUUUGGCAAAUAUAGGUAUUUGUUUAGCAUCUUGUCCCCCUUUCUUUUGUACAUGACAGCAUGUCCAAUACCCACCAUAUGGUGGUUGCUCACAAAUAGUUACUAAAUGAAUAACGGAUGCUUACUGGAUGGGUAGGCUAAGUGGGUUUUAAGUGAAAAAGUCCAGUUGAUAGAUAAAUGGUGAUAGGACACACCUUUUGGAGAAGAAGUGGUUGAAAAUACUGGAACAGGGAAAAUAAUCAAAAGUAUCACUGAAGGAGUUCUCAUCAUGGCGCAGAGGAAACAAAUCCGACUAGGAACCAUGAAGUCGUGGGCUUGAUCCCUGGCCUCGCUCAGUGGGUUAAGGAUCCCGAGUUGCCAUGAGCUGUGGCAUAGGUCACAGAUGUAGCUCGGAUCCUGCAUUGCUGUGGCUCAGAUCCUGCAUUGCUGUGGCUCGGAUCCUAGCUAUGCCACAGCUAGGCCGGCAGCUGUAGACCUUGUUUGACCCCUCGCCUGGGAACCUCCAUAUGUCAUGAGUGCGCUGCCCUCCUCCCCCCAAAAAGUAUCCCUGAAAAUACAAGAGGACACAGGACCCAGGACCCAGCGUUAGACACUUUUGCUGUUAUAACAAAGGUCGGGCAGAUGGGAGCUGGUAGAUUUGGUGGCAGGAAGUCGGCUGGUACGUUCUCAGGUGAGUGCUAUUUUCUCUGGGAAGUGAGACAAGAUGGUC